rnacentral:rRNA from 1 species
CCUACGGGUGGCAGCAGUGAGGAAUAUUGGUCAAUGGGCGCGAGCCUGAAGCAGCGAAGUAGCGUGAAGGAUGACUGCCCUACGGGUUGAAAACUUCUUUUAUAAAGGAAUAAAGUGAGGCACGUGAGCCUUUUUGUAUGUACUUUAUGUAUAAGGAUAGGCUAACUCCGUGCCGUCAGCCGCGGUAAUACGGAGGAACCGAGCGUUAUCCGGAUUUAUUGGGUUUAAAGGGAGCGUAGAUGGGUUGUUAAGUCAGUUGUGAAAGUUUGCGGCUCAACCUUAAAAUUGCAAGUGAUACUGUCAGCCUUGAGUACAGUUGAGGUAGGCAGAAUUCGUGGUGUAGCGGUGAAAUGCUUAGAUAUCACGAAGAACUCCGAUUGCGAAGGCAGCCUACUAAACUGCCACUGACAUUGAUGCUCGAAAGUGUGGGUAUCAAACAGGAUUAGAUACCCUAGUAGUC